AGGAUAAAGUUUACAUGCCUAAGAGUGACAGUAGCCAGCUUGAUCUUGGUGAGGCAAAAUGAAUGAUUUUAAGCCCAUGCAUGACCUCUAUUGUGGCAAUCUGGUCACUUUGUUCAUGAAUUUCAUUUUAUAAGAAGACGUUGGCUGGGAAAAGAACUUGACAUCUACAAGGUGAGAACACAAGUGAGAAGGCAGCUGUCUACAUGCCAGGAAGAGAGCCCUCACCAGAAACUAACCAUGCUGGCACCUUCAUCUUGAACUUCACAGCCUGUAGAACUUCAAGAAAUAAAUUUAUAUUGUUAAGCCACUUUGUUAUGACAUCCUGAGCUGACUAAAACGCAAUACUCUGAAAGCCUUCACUUCGUCUCUCAUGACAUCUUUCAAAAGACCUCAACCAAAGCAACCUUUUCAGUGGGAAGCCUGAGGGAAUGAGUGCUAUCCUAAAUUACUCAUCUGGAUACAGUACCCAUCCCCUGGCUCUCAGAGAACCCUGAGUUAUUACCAUUCUCUCUCUCAUAACAUUAUCACUUGCCAGGAUUUGAAUAUGUCCCCUCCAACAUUCAGAUGUUCAGAAUUAAAGGACAAUGUAAUAGGAUAAACAGGUGGGAACUUUAACAGGAGAUUAGGCCACAAGGACUCCUCCCUCCUGAAUGGGAUUAAGGCCCUUAUAAAAGAAGCUUUGCAAAGCAUUUGGUUAGCUUGUCCUUCUGCCAACUGCCAUGUGAUGAUAUAGCUUUGCUCCCCUCUGGAGGUUGCAUCACCGAAGUACCAUCCUGGAAGCAGAGAGACUGGGCCCUCCGUCACCAGCCAGUACUUUGAUCUUGGACUUACCAGCCUCCAGAACUGCGAGAAAAUACAUUUCUUUUCUUUAUAAAUUACCCAGGCUGUGGUAUUUUGUUAUAGCAGCACUAAUGAAUGAAGACAUCACUUCAUGUUUAAUAUUUGGACUCCCCAUUGGACAUAGGCACCAUGAAGCCAAAGAAGCCUACUCUGCAUAGCCCCAGGAUCUGUCAUUUGGUCUGCUAUGGUGAUGUCUCUGUGAAUAUUUUGUUGAAUUGAUUUGACUGUUUGAAAGAGCAGGCUAUUUUCACUCAUUCUUUCUCCUUCCUAGCCAUGUAAAAUCUGUAUUGAAAUUUUUGAGAAAUAUAUUGAAGAAAGGAUAAAUAACAACUUUCUUAUUUUUAUUUAUUAUGUUUAAAGAAAAAGAACAACUUUAAGGGCAGAAAAUUAACUUAUAAUAGAGUGUAAGAGAAUGGUUUUUUAGAUGAUUUAUCAAUAUCUAUGAGGCUAAAACCAAAUCAAGGAAGAAUUAUAAAGUGUUGCUAAGACCACCUGGGUGCAGCAGCUCAGGCUUGUAAUCCCAGCAAUUUGGGAGGCUGAGGUGGGCAGAUCACUUGAGGCCAGGAGUUUGAGAUCACCCUGAGCAACAUGACAAAACUCCAUCCCUACUAAAAAUACAAAAAUUAGCGGAGCAUGGUAGCAUGUGCCUGUAAUCCCAGCUACUCAGGAGGCUGAGGCAGGACACUCGCUUGAACCCAGGAGGCGGAGGUUUUAGUGAGCCAAGAUCAUGCCACUGCAAUCCAAC
rnacentral:lncRNA from 1 species